CUUUCCCUUCAUAGUACGUAGUAGUCAAAGACUUAUCAAUCGAUCGAGAUUGAGUCGCACUCGCCAGAGAUCGUGUAGAGCUCCGUCUCCGAUUCCGUCCACCAACAUGGAGCUAGCGGCGGCGGCGCAUCCAUCGCAGUCGAGCAUUUUCUUAAUGGCGUCUUCCGUCGCCGAGAAGCCUCAAGCUUCUGAUGAACCCGCGCCUCCCUUCCGUUCAUGGCGACUACUUGGUUUUACCUGAUCUAUGAAAUUGACUUGUGCUAGGGUUUCAUGAGAGUAAGCCGUGCAUGUUCAUCUUCUAAAAGAACGACCUUUCUUUCAAGAAUGGGUCUCCUCAGUAGCUGUUUCCUGCUUCUCCUUUUGGCGGCCUCCUUCGGCGCUUCAAUUGCCUGUUCCAAUGGAGAAUGCCAGUUACUUGAUGGUUGCUCUUCGGACAGUGAUUGCCAGGCAGGUUUGUAUUGUUUCUCCUGCGGUCUCUUUAAUUCAGUGUGCGUGCGACAAACUGCAUCGGAUCAAUUCAAGAUUGUGAAUACCUCCUUGCCCUUUAAUAAAUAUGCAUUUCUCACAACCCACAAUUCUUUUGCCAUUACUGGAGAACCUUCUCGAACAGGAAUCCCACGAAUUACCUUUGCAAAUCAAGAGGACAACGUCACUCAACAAUUAAACAAUGGUGUUAGAGCUUUAAUGUUAGACACAUAUGACUUUGAAGGUGACAUAUGGUUGUGCCAUUCAAAUGGUGGAGAAUGCAAUGCUUUUACCGCUUUUGAACCAGCUAUAGAUACUAUGAAGGAAAUUGAGACAUUCUUGUCUUUGAAUCCAUCAGAAAUUGUCACAUUGAUCUUAGAAGACUAUGUUAAGACUCCAAAUGGAUUAACAAAACUUUUCAAUGAUUCGGGUUUGCUGAAAUACUGGUUCCCAGUUUCCAACAUGCCCACAAAUGGUCAAGACUGGCCUUUUGUAAGUGACAUGGUUGCAAAAAACCAGCGUUUGAUUGUCUUUACGUCUAGAAAAUUCAAGCAACAUACAGAAGGGAUAGCCUAUCAGUGGAACUACAUGGUUGAAAACCAGUAUGGAGAUGGUGGCAUUAAAGCUGGGACAUGCUUCAACCGUGCUGAAUCUGCUCCUCUAAAUGACACAAACAAAUCUCUUGUUCUAGUUAAUUAUUUCCCCUCAACACCAAUUCGGCAAAUUGCAUGUGAGCACAACUCCGAGCCACUCUUUGAUAUGCUAAUUACAUGCCAUGGUGUAGCAAGCAACCGAUGGGCAAACUUUGUGGCGGUUGAUUUUUACAAGAGAAGCGAUGGAGGAGGAGUGUUUGAGGCAACAGAUAUGCUUAAUGGAAAAUUGCUAUGUGGACGUUCUGAUGUUCAUUUAUGUACUGCCGGCUCUCCUUCAUGAACUGGUCCGUUGCUGCCAGCAAUGUCGACGCUUUUUUGUGUAGCAAAGAACUGCAGAACAUCACUACUGGUCAUCGAUAUGAAGGAGCCCAUCGAGUUACAUGAGGACAAAAUCCCAUAAAUACAAAUCGGUGCUCUUGUAUAACGGGACAAUUUAGAUGGAGAGAGCAAGUCAAUUUAUGUCUGAAGAUGUUGCCUUUAAGCAAUAAUUCAAGUAAACCUUGAAACUUGAGGUUUGAGUAGUAUCAUUAAUCCCGGGAUCUCGCAUCGACAGGAGUUUUGUAUGAUGUUAAGUAGUAUCAUUAAUUCCGGGAUCUCGCAUCGACAGGAGUUUUGUAUGAGGUUUAAGUAGUAUCAUUAAUCUUGGGAUCUCGCAUCGACAGGAA